UACGUAGGGACCGAGCGUUGUCCGGAUUCAUUGGGCGUAGAGAGCUCGUAGGCGGCUGCUCAAGUCGAAUGUGAAAACUCGAGGCUCAACCUCGAGCCUGCAUUCGAUACUGGGCGGCUAGAGUCUGGUAGGGGGAUCUGGAAUUCCUGGUGUAGCGGUGGAAUGCGCAGAUAUCAGGAGGAACACCGGUGGCGAAGGCGGGAUCCUGGGCCAGUACUGACGCUGAGGAGCGAAAGCGUGGGGAGCAAACAGG
rnacentral:rRNA from 1 species